rnacentral:rRNA from 1 species
AUGAACGCUGGCGGCGUGCUUAACACAUGCAAGUCGAACGAUGAAGCCCAGCUUGCUGGGUGGAUUAGUGGCGAACGGGUGAGUAACACGUGAGUAACCUGCCCUUAACUCUGGGUUAAGCCUGGGAAACUGGGUCUAAUACCGGAUAGGAGCGUCCACCGCAUGGUGGGUGUUGGAAAGAUUUAUCGGUUUUGGAUGGACUCGCGGCCUAUCAGCUUGUUGGUGAGGUAAUGGCUCACCAAGGCGACGACGGGUAGCCGGCCUGAGAGGGUGACCGGCCACACUGGGACUGAGACACGGCCCAGACUCCUACGGGAGGCAGCAGUGGGGAAUAUUGCACAAUGGGCGAAAGCCUGAUGCAGCGACGCCGCGUGAGGGAUGACGGCCUUCGGGUUGUAAACCUCUUUCAGUAGGGAAGAAGCGAAAGUGACGGUACCUGCAGAAGAAGCACCGGCUAACUACGUG